rnacentral:rRNA from 1 species
UACAGAGGUCCCAAGCGCUGUUCGGAUUCACUGGGCGUAAAGGGUGCGUAGGUGGUCGGGUAAGUCCGAUGUGAAAUCUCCAGGCUCAACCUGGAAAUGGCAUUGGAUACUAUUCGGCUUGAGGAGUGGAGGGGGGACUGGAAUUCUCGGUGUAGCAGUGAAAUGCGUAGAUAUCGAGAGGAACACCAGUGGCGAAGGCGAGUCCCUGGACACUUCCUGACACUGAGGCACGAAAGCUAGGGGAGCAAACAGG